rnacentral:lncRNA from 10 species
AAGCCAAGCGACACCAAAGGUGGCCAGCAGCCCAUGUGAAGCUGGAGGAGAGGCCUCGAAUAAAUGCUCCCUUACAGCGUUCAGGGGGAACUGACCCUGUCCACACCUUGACCUUGAACUUCUGGGCUCCAGAACUGUGAGACAGCAUGUUCUGUUGUUGAAGGAGCAGCGUGGCUAGAGGAAUUCCUGCAGCUUAGAUUUCGCUGGCACUGUUACCACUCCCAGAGAGGAGCGGCUGGAGUUCACGGCUGGUUCCUGACAAACUUCCUAAUUAAUCUGCUAAAGAUCAGAGGAGGACUAAUAGGAGCUGAAGACUGUGUGCGAGACCACCCCUCCGCCCUCUCCCUUUGUGUGUGCACGUGUGUGUGUGUGUGUGUGUGAGCGCGUGCGCGCAUGUGGUGCUGAGCUUGGCGGGAGAGAGAUGGCCUCACCAGCGACAAAGCAUUCCUGCUGCUGUUGCUGCCACCUACCUUCCCUGCUUUGGGAGGAUACAUUUUCUCCUCUUGCUUAGAAGUUUCAGGGAGUCACCCAAGCCUUCUUCUCCCAGAUACAACGGUGGAAUAAAAUAUCUUCCAGCCAACAUAUUUUUUGGAGACGGAAUCUCACUCUGUCACCUGGUUGAAGUGCAGCAGCGCGAUCAUGGCUCACUGCAACCUCUGCCUCCCGGUUUCAAGUGAUUCUCCUGCCUCCGCCUCCCGAGUAGCUGGGAUUACAGGCAUGUGCCACCCACCACGCCUGGGUAAUUUUUGUAUUUUUACUAGAGACAGGGUUUCACUAUGUGGGCUGGGCUGGUCUCAAACUCCUGACCUCUGGUGAUCUGCCCACUUCGGCCUCUCAAAGUGCUGGGAUUACAGGCAUGAGCCCCCGCACCCGGUUGCAACCAACUUUUUUGUGGAAUAUAGGAUCUUGAUGUUUGGAUGCCUGAAGGCAGAAGCUGUUGCACAUGGAAUGGAUUAAAGUUUUCCCCUCUGCAACCAAAAAUCCUUGGGGUCCCAGGAGCAAAAGAUGCUCCAUGGCACAGGACAAUUCAAGAAGGCCCGAGGUGAUAUUGAAGACUGCAGAGACAUCCAGCUCAGUUGUGUCUCCGGAGGUGUCCAGACUUUGCAGACAGACGUUGCACAUAAAGAGCUGAAAAACUGAGGAAGCUGAGCUGGAGAAGGAAGUCACUUCUACUCAGACUUGACCUGCGUCUGAUGCUAUGGGGCCUCUUAGGGUUACCUCAUGCUUCAUGCACCCCUUUCUCUGUUCUUCAGCAGAAGGCAGGGUGUAGGGAAGCGGGACUGUGCCUCCUUUCUCCCUGCCAGGCCUGACUCUCCAGGCCAAGAGACACCAUUAAGGAGUAUAAUUUGUUGAUCCAGGCUCUCCUUGCGUUUCAGUGCAGAGUGGCAUCGUUUUCUUUAUGACCUCGUAAAGUCACAGCCGAGAGGCCGAUUUGGAAAACAAACUGCCUCAGGUUGACAGAUAAUUAGAUACAGGGGACAUAUUAUAUGCCUUUGCAUAUAAAUGUGCUCCGAGGCGUGUUGGUUCAUCUGAAGUUGAGGUUAAAGGCGCGCCAGGUAUUCCUGACACAUCAGGAUAUAUAUUUUCAUACAGUCUCAGGUGCUGUGUUGGUUUUAUAGGCCUUUCAUCCUGGUGCUGACGGAUGGGGUGUGAUUGUGACCCAACUUAGAAGAAAGGGACUUCCCUUGCCCAGGGGCCUCCUGGCGUUUUUGUUUUGUGUUCUCCCUCUCCACCCCCACUUUCUCUUCUUCCUUGGGAAGGGAACUGUUCUUUGGACCUAGGAUUCUGCCGAUCUUGGCAGUGGACUGCCACGGGAGCUCUGGGGAAAAAGGACCAGUUGGACUCCAGUACCUCCUGAGAGACCACCACCCUCCAUGCCUCCAGCUCAUGCCCAGCUCUGAGUCAGACGGACUCUUCCUGUUGUACUGCGAGGUUCUGCAAACCUUGAAGGGCAAACACAGUGAGGGUCUCUGACUUGCUGUGUGGACAGCCCACUCUCUGACAGCCCAGAUCAUCUGAAGCUAUCCCUGGGCUGGGAGCUGGAAGCCAUUCUUGUGAACCACUCCUUAUACCUUGAGCGAAGCCUCUUUGGGUCCCAGAAGUCUGAAGCUCCAGCUGCCUGGCAAGACUGAGUCUAGAUGAUUUCUUGGGUACCAGUAGUUUGGCAUUUAAAAAUACUGGAUUAACUGCAGUGUAAACUUAGAUUGCAUUUCAGAUUGUAAACAAUAACCCCCGUGCUUCAUGUGAUGUUAAAUCAGAAAUGAGCUAUUAGCCAAGCUAGUCCUCUUAUGAAUGAGCCCCUAACCCUGAUCCAGGGAUCGUUGAAUGAAAAUCAUCAAAAUGAUUUAUCUUCACUUUACCUAUUGUCUCACAAGAAUCUCAUCACUCAGGGAAAAGGAGGGUGUUCUUCAGGGAACGGAGGGCAUGAGGAAGGGGGAUUUCCUUAUAUCUCAACUUUCAGAGGGAGCUGAGUUGUAAACAGAUGGAACAAGGUGUGUACGAGAAGCCUCUUAGAUUUAGUCUUUCAUAUCAAGGCUCUUGCUGAAAAUCCUGGCACAGCUGUGAAAUGAGGGGAGCUCUGACACACAGAGACACGCUCCUUGCCUCACCAACCUUCCCAUACACAGUCAUGCGCACAGA